rnacentral:rRNA from 1 species
AGUGAACGCUGGCGGUAGGCCUAACACAUGCAAGUCGAACGGCAGCACAGUAAGAGCUUGCUCUUACGGGUGGCGAGUGGCGGACGGGUGAGGAAUACAUCGGAAUCUACUUUUUCGUGGGGGAUAACGUAGGGAAACUUACGCUAAUACCGCAUACGACCUACGGGUGAAAGCAUGGGAUCUUCGGACCUUGCGCGAUUGAAUGAGCCGAUGUCGGAUUAGCUAGUUGGCGGGGUAAAGGCCCACCAAGGCGACGAUCCGUAGCUGGUCUGAGAGGAUGAUCAGCCACACUGGAACUGAGACACGGUCCAGACUCCUACGGGAGGCAGCAGUGGGGAAUAUUGGACAAUGGGCGCAAGCCUGAUCCAGCCAUACCGCGUGGGUGAAGAAGGCCUUCGGGUUGUAAAGCCCUUUUGUUGGGAAAGAAAAGCAGCAGGUUAAUACCCCGCUGUUCUGACGUUACCAAAAGAAUAAGCACCGGCUAACUUCGUG